AAAACUUAUAAUUUGGGUUUCCACCCCUUGGGUUGAAGAUGGCCUAAGCUCUUCAACUUUCUUCAUACUUUAUUUCCAACCACUUAGGCUUAUUUAGUAAUCCCUAAAGUCGCCACCUCAUUGUAACCGCCCUACUCUUCAUGCUACAAUCCCUUGAUUUGUGGAACACUUCUUCUCAAGCCACCAUGUCAUUAGACACAUGUUUUUCAUGGAUAUAACCACCAACCAUGAUCCCCUUUUUUAUUGAACCACUCUCCCACAUUUUCAUAUUUUCGUAGAGCAAUAACCACCCAACUAACUAGCUAGUUAUCCUUC
rnacentral:lncRNA from 1 species